UACGGGGGGGCAAGCGUUGUUCGGAAUUACUGGGCGUAAAGGGCCAGUAGGCGGCCAACUAAGUCCGACGUGAAAUCCCAAGGCUUAACCUUGGAACUGCGUCGGAUACUGGAUGGCUUGAAUUCGGGAGAGGGAUGCAGAAUUCCAGGUGUAGCGGUGAAAUGCGUAGAGAUGUGGAGGAACACCGAUGGCGAAGGCAGCCCCUGGCUGACACUGACGCUGAGGCGCGAAAGCCAGGGAGGCGAACGGG
rnacentral:rRNA from 1 species